GGGGAAUAUUGCACAAUGGGGGAAACCCUGAUGCAGCGACGCCGCGUGGAGGAAGAAGGUCUUCGGAUUGUAAACUCCUGUUGUUGAGGAAGAUAAUGACGGUACUCAACAAGGAAGUGACGGCUAACUACGUGCCAGCAGCCGCGGUAAAACGUAGGUCACAAGCGUUGUCCGGAAUUACUGGGUGUAAAGGGAGCGCAGGCGGGAAGACAAGUUGGAAGUGAAAUCCAUGGGCUCAACCCAUGAACUGCUUUCAAAACUGUUUUUCUUGAGUAGUGCAGAGGUAGGCGGAAUUCCCGGUGUAGCGGUGGAAUGCGUAGAUAUCGGGAGGAACACCAGUGGCGAAGGCGGCCUACUGGGCACCAACUGACGCUGAGGCUCGAAAGUGUGGGUAGCAAACAGGAUUAGAUACCCUGGUAGUCCACACCGUAAACGAUGAUUACUAGGUGUUGGAGGAUUGACCCCUUCAGUGCCGCAGUUAACACAAUAAGUAAUCCACCUGGGGAGUACGACCGCAAGGUUGAAACUCAAAGGAAUUGACGGGGGCCCGCACAAGCAGUGGAGUAUGUGGUUUAAUUCGACGCAACGCGAAGAACCUUACCAAGUCUUGACAUCCUGCGACGAUGCUGGAAACAGUAUUUUCCUUCGGGACGCAGAGACAGGUGGUGCAUGGUUGUCGUCAGCUCGUGUCGUGAGAUGUUGGGUUAAGUCCCGCAACGAGCGCAACCCUUAUGGUCAGUUACUACGCAAGAGGACUCUGGCCAGACUGCCGUUGACAAAACGGAGGAAGGUGGGGAUGACGUCAAAUCAUCAUGCCCCUUAUGACCUGGGCCUCACACGUACUACAAUGGCUGUUAACAGAGGGAUGCAAAGCCGCGAGGUGGAGCGAACCCCUAAAAGCAGUCUUAGUUCGGAUUGUAGGCUGCAACCCGCCUACAUGAAGUCGGAAUUGCUAGUAAUCGCAGAUCAGCAUGCUGCGGUGAAUACGUUCCCG
rnacentral:rRNA from 1 species